AUGAUGAGUGGGGUCGGGGGCUUCGUCCUGGGUCUGCUCUUUGUUGCUGUGGGGCUGUUCAUCUACUUCAAGAAUCAGAAAGGACGCCCUGCCCUUCAGCCAACAGGCCUCCUGAGCUGAAGUGCAGGUGGUGACACUCCAAGCAAGCAUCCUCUGUGCCAGCGUCUUCACAGCAUGAGAAGGCUCCUGCUAUGCUCUACGUCCUCCCCCAGGAGAGCUCUUCCUCAGACUCUCCUUUGCUCCUGGUUCAGGGACCCUGCAGAAAAGGUCUUUUGAUGGCUUUCUCAGCCUCCCCCCUUUGACUUGGAAGUUCCUGGCAUUGAUUGCUGUGCCUAUGUUCAUUUUUCUUUCUUUUUUUUUUCCUGGUUGGUCCCUGUUGUUUUCGACGUUACUGCCUCCUGUGCAUCUGAACUCAUCCACUGCCCAUAUUACCUUAUUAUGUUUUUCUCCAAUAAAUAUGGAGUGA
rnacentral:lncRNA from 1 species